ACCAAGUGUAUUUUAGUGUAGAGAUUAGCACGUGUUGCUGUAGCUUUAAUUUCUGUACGGUACAGUAUACAGUAUGCUGCUUCUUUAUAUGAAAAUGGUAUGUUGAAACAUAAUGCUUGACACAAAGUCAUAAUGCAUAAUUACAGCUGCAGUUCUAUCCAGACUGUGUUAUUUGUCAAUCGCGACUGUGUUUUUAUAGCCCCAGUUAUUGCGGUUAUAUAAACGUCGAGAUUAUGAGUAUCCUUCAUAAUCAAAUGACGUUGAACUCAAGAAGUGUUUGAAUCAACGUCACUUGUGACGUCUUGAAAAUGGGCGGUUGUAAACCUGUGGCUGUCUGUUGAAGAUGUCAGUCCCUGCAAGGAAAAAAGUGCGAGUGACUGACUGAGGUCUACAGGGGGGCUUGAGGAAGGCUUGAGAGGAGAGAAGAGAGUACAAAGGGAGCUGAAGACUGCUGCAGUAACCACACACAAACAGGGAGAGAGCAAUUCAAUUUACCUGCGAGAGUUAUGAAGACUCCUUGCUUCUAGAGCUCGGUCCCCAAGUGUUCCGUGGGGUUGUCUGUCUGUCCGUCCAGCUAGCUGUCAGCGUGGACAGUGCCAUUAGAGUAGAGACAUGGCCACGGAUUCAUGGCAAGAGGCUGGAAAGACCAGGAAAAGUCACUUGAGAUCCUGUGAGAAAAAAUCCUCAUGGGCCUCCUACAUGACCAACUCCCCCACUGUGAUUGUGAUGACCGGCCUCCCGGCGCGAGGGAAGACCUACAUGUCCAAGAAGCUCACGCGCUACCUCAACUGGAUCGGAGUGCCCACCAAGGUUUUCAACCUGGGUGUGUAUCGUCGAGAGGCUGUCAAAAUGUACAAGUCCUACGACUUCUUUCGACACGACAAUAAAGAAGCCAUGGAAAUCAGAAAACAGUGUGCCUUGGUAGCUUUAGAAGAUGUGCAAGCCUAUUUGACGGAGGAAGGGGGGCAAAUCGCUGUAUUUGAUGCCACAAACACAACCAGGGAAAGAAGAGAUCUGAUCCUUAGUUUCGCAAAGGAAAACUCGUACAAGGUCUUCUUCGUGGAGUCUGUGUGUGACGAUCCUGAUGUCAUUGCUGCUAAUAUAUUGGAAGUGAAGGUGUCCAGCCCGGACUAUCCUGAAAGGCACAGGGAACGGGUCAUGGACGACUUCCUGAAGAGAAUCGCGUGCUACGAGGUUACAUACCAGCCCCUGGAUCCAGAUCACGAUGACAAAGACUUGUCCUUCAUUAAAGUGAUCAACGUGGGCCGGCGCUUCCUCGUGAACAGAGUCCAGGAUUACAUCCAAAGCAGGAUCGUCUACUAUCUCAUGAACAUCCACGUUCACCCACGCACCAUCUACCUCUGCCGCCACGGAGAGAGCCAGCACAACGUCCUGGGCAAGAUCGGGGGCGACUCAGAGCUGUCAGCACGCGGCAAGCAGUUCGCCCAUGCCCUGCGGGAGUUCAUCAAGCAGCAGAAGCUGGCUGAUCUGAAGGUGUGGACGAGCCAGCUGCGGAGGACGAUCCAGACCGCCGAGGAGCUAGGCUCCCCGUACGAGCAGUGGAAGAUCCUGAAUGAGAUUGACGCGGGGGUGUGUGAAGAGAUGACCUACGAGAUGAUCCAGGAUUCUUACCCAGAGGAAUUUGCCCUGCGAGACCAGGACAAAUAUCACUACCGCUACCCAGGAGGAGAGUCCUACCAGGACAUGGUGCAGCGUCUGGAGCCCGUGAUCAUGGAGCUGGAGAGGCAGGGGAACGUGCUGGUCAUCUCACACCAGGCCGUCAUGCGCUGUCUGCUCGCCUACUUCCUGGACAAGAGCGCAGAUGAACUUCCUUACCUGAAGUGCCCACUGCAUACUGUUCUCAAACUGACCCCUGUUGCUUAUGGCUGCAAAGUGGAAACGUUUUACUUGAACAUUGAAGCAGUGAACACUCACAGAGACAGACCUCCAGAUAAAAGCGGGACGGAUCCAGCCCCGACCCUACAGCGGCGGAAUAGUUUCACCCCUCUGGCUAGUCAUGACCAGGUCAAGCGGCCACGGCUCUACAGCGCUGGCAACCGGCCACGCCUGCCCCUGACCACGUCACCGGGGGCGCUGCACUUCCCUGAGCCGCAGCAGGGGGCGCUGCAUCAGCAAACCCAACAUCGUUUGGGGAAUGCCUGCAUGAGUCGUUCCAGCCUGGCUGCCUGUGAGUCUCUAGUCGCUGUCUCUGCUUCUGAGUAGAGCCUCAAGGAUACCCUUGCAUUGCUCCCACCUGCUUCUAACGGCUGUUCAAACUCCUGCUCUUGAUGGCUUCAGCGGCAAACAUGUCUAUUUUUUGUAAUAAAUACAGUAAGCAAUGUGGAAGGAGGCUAUCGGUGCAAGCACAUGCUGUUUUUGUAAAUAAGUAGCUUCAAUACUGUAGCAGGCUUGCAACUGAAGUUGCAUGUGUCAAGUUGUAAACACAGCCAAGCUUUUUUAUUUGUUAAUCGGCCUGCUUCUAGUACAAUAACGGACCACCAGUACAUUUGAAUGUGUUUUUCUCGGUUUCAAAAAAGUUAAAAAACGUAUGAAGUACUUGCACUGAUGGCUUCAAAUGUUAUGAUCAGACUGCCUAGAAAUAUAUAUUCCCUGAUAUUAUCCUUUUACUUUUAAUUAUAGCUAUAUGUUUAGUAAGUAAUCCAUUGCACAAAUCUGGGGAAAGAUGCUGGGACAUUAUUAUUUUUUUUUAAUUAUUAUUUUUUUUAAUUCCUGUGAUUGUGUUUAUUCACUUUUGCCCGAGACUGCUGAUUAGUUCUGUAUUAGUCUUACUGUUAUAAUAACAGUGACAGGCUGAUCAUGCCUUCCUGAUGAGAUAUACACCAACAUGGACUUUGUAAUGCAUAUCUAUUUGUAUUUCUGUAGUAAGCGCUCCCUUUAUUUUGUUUUGUGAUCGUUGAGAGACAAUGGCCAUUGAUAGCCCAUUACAGAAUGUCAUUGUGUGAGUGGAAUCUACAUUUUUGUAGAUCUUGGUUUAAGGAAUGUACAUUUCGCAAUAGUAAUUGUGCAAAAAUGUCCUGUUUUGUAUGUUAUGGUUAAGCAUCAAUUGAUAACUGUAAUUGUACUGUUCUUAAAGAUUCUCGUUUCUUUUAAGGGAAUGUCGAUUUGUCUGUAAAGGGAGGGAUGUGUGACUGAGAAAUGGAUAAAGAAAAUCCCUGACACUUUACACUAGUUUGGCUGCUGGGUGUCACUCCAUAGUAGUAUACGCUGAAGAGACUUUCUUCUGUUAAAAAAAAGGGUUCCUUAAACAGAAAUGAAGAUUUGGGAUUUGUUUUAACACGUGCAGUACAGUGUUCUCCUUAUUCAAGUUGACUGUGACAACCACAGCUGUUUACCUAUAACUUUAAACACUGGCAUUCAGUAUAAAACUGCACAUCAUGGGGUUUUCAGAUACAAAACAUAGUGGCAAACUUGAUGUGAACUAUAUUGUAACCAGGUUAAAUAACAUGUCCUUAACGUUCUGAAUUUGACUCAUUCACCUGCCUUACAAAGUAAACAAUAUAUACAGUAUGUAUGUAUGUAUAUAUCAGAUACGUAUUUGUAAGUUUGUGAGUAGGUAUAACGCAUACUGCACACAUAAUAUACCUGUACUGUAACAAUCAAUAACAAACUAACUCAAAACCUACUGAUUAACUCAUAUUAGCCUUACGGUCCAUAUAUGCAAUGUAUUCUGGAUGAAUGUAUGUACAGCACAGUGCUGUAUAUCAUUGACCUGGCAAGCUAGUAUAUUAAAUGCAUUACGGUGGCAUAUUUGUUGUGGGUGCAUUCAAAUACCAUUAGCUGGUAUUUGGUUAAAACUACAGAAUGUUUUUUUUUUUCUAUCUGCAGAUUUUCUUGUUUAUUGUCAAAACAUUAUCAUGCAAAAACCCUGAGCCUGAGCAAUGCUGUCAUGACUUCAGCUUUCUGUAGUUGAAUUGUGUGCAAGGGCAUGCUGGCCUUGCCCACCAAGGAACAGCUAAUCUCUGUGUUUCAUUGAUCUCAACACUAGAUUCACUUGGAUGGAUUGCACUGAAACGCACAGGAUUUUUUUUUUUUUUUGGCACUCCCAAAUGGAAAAUAUUUUAGCGUACUAAAUUCUUUGGACAACUCAGUGAGAGUUUGCCUAACACAGCAACUCACCCCCUGUGUGCUCAGACAUGAUAAUGCCCAUUGAUCUGUUAAUGGUUUUGGGGGAAUGAUUGGUUCUAACAGUCUGCAGUCACGCAUGUCUCCUUCUGCUCCGUUGUGAAGGUGUAUGCAGGUUUUCAAAUCGAACACGUCGGUCAGCCGCAGCCGGAAAGAAGCCCUGGAAACUGCCCCCCUGCUCCUGUGAGUAACCGAGGAGAGGAAGAACACUUGCCCAAAGAACAAACACUCAGGGGGAUGUGUGCUGGAUGAAUUUUGUGUGUGCUUGUGUGUAGCAGUAGAGACGUCAUCGCUUUGUGUUUUGUUUGUGGUGCAAGGACAAGGAAAUCUGUGGAAAAAAAACAAAACCUGUACAUGCAGACAUAGCAAUUUUAUCAUUUUUAAACAGCUACUGUUUUUAAUUACACACUGUCCCACUGUUAGCGGUAUGUUUGUGCGUCUUAUUCCGAUCAAGGUUGUGCUGACAAAACAGCAUUUGAACUAAAACCAUCGUAAUUUAAAGCUCCACUGUAUAGCUAAUAAAAGUGUUGUGGAAGACUGGCGACACUGUCUCUGUGAUCUACAUAUCGUUCCAAUCUCUUUUAAAACAUCUUCAGGGUUGUUUGUUUUAUUUAUUCACACAUUCUAUGCCAGUAAUCAACUGGGCAACUCGUGUGCUGUAGGUCAACUUCUCUGCCACAACCUGACCAGAACAUUUAAGAAUUAGCACACUGUUCAGCAGACUAAUUGCACUGUAACUGCAUGCUAAUUACACUGUAAAAACACACAGCUUUCUGUGCAAAUACAAAAAGUUUUAUAGCAUUGUAACUACACAAACUGAAUGUGUUUCUACAGUGUAUGAGUCUACUAAUACUUUAUAUUUUACUAGAAAGUUGUGAACAUUUGAAUGAUUUAUUUUGUUUUAUCAUUUUAUAAAAUUAUAAAACACUCCAUUGUGGUAUAUUCAGUUGAUCUAAACCAUGGCAGAUGCAAGCAGGGUUGGGGUCUGAUUCUGUUUCCAAUUCCUUUUUAAAAUCAAUUCCCAAUUUUGAACAACAGGAAUUGACCCCCAACCCUGGAUCCGAGUGCCACCACUGUUUAAAUAAUGAAUACAUGGCCUGAGGUUCAAAAAUGAAACAUCCCACAGGCAGGCUAGUCUAUAGUAAACUCAGGAUGGGUCCUAUUUUAAUGAUCUAAAUCGUGGUGGUAUUUAGAUUCUCCGCUGACUAGAGCUCAUGUCUUUACAGAAUUGAAGAACUGAAGCUGUUCAUAAAGACGUUUGUACUGUUCUUUCUUUUAAAACAAAAAACAUUCAGUAUGUGCCUGUUUUUUAAAUGGACUUUAAUAGACUUGUUUUGCACAGUGUCGCUGGCUAGGUCGUGGUUAUUUGUCACAAAAAAAAUAAAAAAACAAGCUGUGAAUUGCUACUUUAAUUCACUGGUAAUAAUGUUUUUCUUGUUGACAUUUAGACUGACAUAACCACGAUCAAUCCUGUACCUGCUGUCUGCAUUAUAUGAGUAUCAUUUAUUUUAACAGCAUGUAUACACAUUUCAUUUUUUAUGACUGCUAAUAAAAAAAAAAAAAUAAUCUUCA